GGGAAACAGGCGGAGGGGCCAGCCUCAGGCCCCAUAUCAAACUUUUGAGGCA
rfam:Fukomys damarensis contig99073, whole genome shotgun sequence.